rnacentral:misc_RNA from 1 species
AAGUCGUAACAAGGUUUCCGUAGGUGAACCUGCGGAAGGAUCAUCAAAAAAGAUGGCGUCUUGUUCUUUUCUCUUUUGAGAAAGCAGGCGUCGUUUCUACUUUUGUGCACUUGUCUCUUUGUGGAUUUUUGUGCUGGUUGCGGCGGCCGAGCUUUCGGCCGCGGACCGCACAGACCCCAUCACACCUAUAUCUUUGUCUAAACUCGGUGACUCGCUUGCGAGCACGCCACACAUAACAAAAAAUAACUUUUAACAACGGAUCUCUUGGCUCUCC